CGCGGGAUUGGGGGGACUGCAGCAGGCGCGAAACCUUUACAAUGCACGAAAGUGUGAUAAGGGAACCCAAAGUGCUUAUGCAUAGCAUAGGCUUUUGCCAAGAGUAAAUAUCUUGGAGAAUAAGUAGUGGGUAAGACUGGUGCCAGCAGCCGCGGUAACACCAGCGCUACAAGUGGUGAUCACAUUUAUUGGGCUUAAAGCGUCCGUAGCCGGACAAGUAAAUUCUUUGUGAAAUCGGAAGGCUCAACCUUUCGACGUGCAAGGAAGACUGCUAGUCUUGGAACCGGGAGAAGUAAGGAGUAUUCCUAGGGGAGCGGUAAAAUGUUAUAAUCCUAGGAGGACUACCGGUGGCGAAGGCGCCUUACUAGAACGGAUUCGACGGUCAGGGACGAAAGCCAGGGGAGCAAAACGGAUUAGAUACCCGAGUAGUCCUGGGCAGUAAACGCUGCGAGCUAGGGUGUUGCACUUUCUUCGUGGAAGUGCAGUGUCGAAGGGAAAGUAUUAAGCUCGCCGCCUGGGAAGUACGGUCGCAAGGGCUGAAACUUAAAGGAAUUGGCGGGGGAGCACCACAAGGGGUGCGGCGUGCGGUUUAAUUGAACUCAACGCCGGAAAUCUCACCAUAAGCGACGGCAGGAUGAAAGUCAGAUUAAAGGUUUUACUUGACGAGCCGAGAGGUGGUGCAUGGCCGCCGUCAGCUCGUGCCGUAAGGUGUCCAGCUAAGCCUGGUAACGAGCGAGAUCUGCAUCCACUAUUACUAACAGGUCCUUUAGGGUGACUGAGUACCUUGUGGAGACUGCCCGGGAAACUGGGAGGAAGGUGCAGGCUACGGUAGGUCUGUAUGCCCCGAAUCUUAUGGGCUACACGCGCGCAACAAUGGUAGGGACAAUGGGCUACAACUCCGAAAGGAGAAGUUAAUCCUCUAAACCCUAUCUUAGUUCAGAUUGAGGGCUGUAACUCGCCCUCAUGACGACGGAAUCCCUAGUAAUCGAAAGUCAACAUCUUUCGGUGAAUAUGUCCCUGCUCCUUGCAGGAAAAAACCGAAUCACUAGU
rnacentral:rRNA from 1 species